rnacentral:tRNA from 2 species
GGGCCGUUAGCUCAGUUGGUAGAGCGCUGCAUUCGCAUUGCAGAGAUCACCGGUUCGAUUCCGGUACGGUCCACCA